rnacentral:lncRNA from 1 species
AAUUUAACCCAUCCUUGCAGGCUUCUCCCCAGGAAGGUGAAGAUGAAGAAUAUCAGUGCCUAUUUUGCUCUCCUGCAAAAGCUGAAAAUCUUCAAUGAGGUUUAAAGAGCGUGUACAAAGCCCAGUUCAUCAAUAAUCAUCUUCUCUCUUCUGACAUCCAAAUGGGAAAUCUGCAGCUGCUUUUGCUGCCUGGCCAGCUCUUUGUUUCAGUGCUUGGAACAGCUUGAAUUUGACAGAUCAGAUUUGUGAAAUGCCAUAAAAGAGAAGAAUCCUCAUCUCCUCCUGCCUUCAGCUUCACCCUGGUGUGGACAUUACAUUUAUUUGUGUGCUGUGUGAGCAGGGGCACACCAAAGGCACCAGUUCUCCAGUAUUUUAUCCCUAAUGGUGGCCAAUAAUUGGUGCCAAGGAAAUAAAUAAAGGAAAAAAACCCAAUAACAGGAUUUCACAAUUGUCAAGUCCCAG